CAGAGAUGUUUGGUCUGCUUGUGCUUGCCUGUUGCAAAUCAGCUCCCAUCUGCACCAACUAUGUCCUGACCUUCGCGAGUUCAAACAGCCUCCCAAAAGUUACGAGGGAGGAGAGCCGAGCUGGAGGAGGAAGAGGAGCGUGAGAGUGAAAGAACGGACAUCCAGACUUAUUCUGAAGGGACUUCUAAAGGAAACGGCUUGGACAUUGUCAAGAACAGUUUGAAUUCCCUGCAGCUGAAGACUUGUAAUGCUGAUGGAUGACAGGACGCCCAUCCUACCUGUAGACGUUGAUGGGCUCAGGGUUGGAGCUCCAUACUCGGAGGCUCUCCUGGAUGACCUGCUG